AACCUUCCGAUCUCCAGCAUAAGCACAACAACAAUCAAUCCUCAAAGAGCAAAGCAAACACAUUCCCAAAUUUUUUGGGAACUAAACAACGAAACUGACAAAGAGUUCAAGGUGGAUUGAACCUUGCUCUCGAUACCAUGUUAGAAUCAAAGAUAAAAAUUAAGAAUAACAAAGGAGGCAACUAGGGUUACAUAAAAUUAGAAUUGCAUUACUUGAUAAAACAGAGUUACAAGAGAUUAUAUAGCAAAACCUAAUGGACUAUAAACCUAAUGAGCCAAUAAUAUAAAGCCCAACAACUUAUUAUCUUAACACCU
rnacentral:lncRNA from 1 species